GGGUAUAACAAUAACUCCCAGAGGAUGUGUUACUUCAUAUCGCGCAAUGUAACGUUCAAUCGGUAUUCAAUAAAAUGACACACAAUUGUAGGAGUUUAGCUCCCUGAAACAUGGGUUUUUUGCGGCAGAGGGAAGGUCCUCCUAUCAAAAUCGGUCGUCAGAUUGGAUAUGCUGUCAACUAGCUAGCUACCGUUUAGGACCACAAAACGAUUUCAUUAAAAAGAGAGAGAGCGAGAGGGAGACGAAUUCCACGUCGACAAGAUCAAAAGGUUAAAAUCGCAGGAAUAUACAUUUCUCCGCUCACUGGAAAGUUACGCGUGGACAAACAUGCCACGGCCGUAAACCAUGUUCUUUUGUUUUGGCUCUGCGCUGCGGCGUGGUCCAGGCUACGUGUUCCUCUGGCCCUGUCAGAUGCAACAAAAGCUCAGGGGGGAAAGAAAACGGAAUAGCUCCGAGGGUAUGCCGGCAUGCGUUUUUAUCAGUUCCUGCCACUCCCUAAGCUCACACGCUCCGGGUGCGAAAAAUAUGGAUGCUGAGCUAGAGCUGAAAGAAGGAGCGUUGCAGGAUGCUAGCC